CCUACGGGUGGCAGCAGUGAGGAAUAUUGGUCAAUGGACGAGAGUCUGAACCAGCCAAGUAGCGUGAAGGAUGACUGCCCUAUGGGUUGUAAACUUCUUUUAUAUGGGAAUAAAAUGUUCCACGUGUGGGCUUUUGUAUGUACCAUAUGAAUAAGGAUCGGCUAACUCCGUGCCAGCAGCAGCGGUAAUACGGAGGAUCCGAGCGUUAUCCGGAUUUAUUGGGUUUAACGGGAGCGUAGGUGGAUUGUUAAGUCAGUUGUGAAAGUUUGCGGCUCAACCGUAAAAUUGCAGUUGAAACUGGCAGUCUUGAGUACAGUAGAGGUGGGCGGAAUUCGUGGUGUAGCGGUGAAAUGCUUAGAUAUCACGAAGAACUCCGAUUGCGAAGGCAGCUCACUGGACUGCAACUGACACUGAGGCUCGAAAGUGUGGGUAUCAAACAGGAUUAGAUACCCCAGUAGUC
rnacentral:rRNA from 1 species